UUUAUGGAGAGUUUGAUCCUGGCUCAGGAUGAACGCUGGCGGCGUGCCUAAUACAUGCAAGUCGAGCGAACGGACGAGAAGCUUGCUUCUCUGAUGUUAGCGGCGGACGGGUGAGUAACACGUGGAUAACCUACCUAUAAGACUGGGAUAACUUCGGGAAACCGGAGCUAAUACCGGAUAAUAUUUUGAACCGCAUGGUUCAAAAGUGAAAGACGGUCUUGCUGUCACUUAUAGAUGGAUCCGCGCUGCAUUAGCUAGUUGGUAAGGUAACGGCUUACCAAGGCAACGAUGCAUAGCCGACCUGAGAGGGUGAUCGGCCACACUGGAACUGAGACACGGUCCAGACUCCUACGGGAGGCAGCAGUAGGGAAUCUUCCGCAAUGGGCGAAAGCCUGACGGAGCAACGCCGCGUGAGUGAUGAAGGUCUUCGGAUCGUAAAACUCUGUUAUUAGGGAAGAACAUAUGUGUAAGUAACUGUGCACAUCUUGACGGUACCUAAUCAGAAAGCCACGGCUAACUACGUGCCAGCAGCCGCGGUAAUACGUAGGUGGCAAGCGUUAUCCGGAAUUAUUGGGCGUAAAGCGCGCGUAGGCGGUUUUUUAAGUCUGAUGUGAAAGCCCACGGCUCAACCGUGGAGGGUCAUUGGAAACUGGAAAACUUGAGUGCAGAAGAGGAAAGUGGAAUUCCAUGUGUAGCGGUGAAAUGCGCAGAGAUAUGGAGGAACACCAGUGGCGAAGGCGACUUUCUGGUCUGUAACUGACGCUGAUGUGCGAAAGCGUGGGGAUCAAACAGGAUUAGAUACCCUGGUAGUCCACGCCGUAAACGAUGAGUGCUAAGUGUUAGGGGGUUUCCGCCCCUUAGUGCUGCAGCUAACGCAUUAAGCACUCCGCCUGGGGAGUACGACCGCAAGGUUGAAACUCAAAGGAAUUGACGGGGACCCGCACAAGCGGUGGAGCAUGUGGUUUAAUUCGAAGCAACGCGAAGAACCUUACCAAAUCUUGACAUCCUUUGACAACUCUAGAGAUAGAGCCUUCCCCUUCGGGGGACAAAGUGACAGGUGGUGCAUGGUUGUCGUCAGCUCGUGUCGUGAGAUGUUGGGUUAAGUCCCGCAACGAGCGCAACCCUUAAGCUUAGUUGCCAUCAUUAAGUUGGGCACUCUAAGUUGACUGCCGGUGACAAACCGGAGGAAGGUGGGGAUGACGUCAAAUCAUCAUGCC
rnacentral:rRNA from 1 species